GACGAACGCUGGCGGCGUGCUUAACACAUGCUAGUCGAACGGAAAGGCCCUGCUUUUGUGGGGUGCUCGAGUGGCGAACGGGUGAGUAACACGUGAGUAACCUGCCCUUGACUUUGGGAUAACUUCAGGAAACUGGGGCUAAUACCGGAUAGGAGCUCCUGCUGCAUGGUGGGGGUUGGAAAGUUUCGGCGGUUGGGGAUGGACUCGCGGCUUAUCAGCUUGUUGGUGGGGUAGUGGCUUACCAAGGCUUUGACGGGUAGCCGGCCUGAGAGGGUGGCCGGCCACAUUGGGACUGAGAUACGGCCCAGACUCCUACGGGAGGCAGCAGUGGGGAAUAUUGCACAAUGGGCGGAAGCCUGAUGCAGCAACGCCGCGUGCGGGAUGACGGCCUUCGGGUUGUAAACCGCUUUCGCCUGUGACGAAGCGUGAGUGACGGUAAUGGGUAAAGAAGCACCGGCUAACUACGUG
rnacentral:rRNA from 1 species